rnacentral:rRNA from 1 species
UACGGAGGGUGCAAGCGUUGCUCGGAAUUAUUGGGCGUAAAGGGCAGGUAGGUGGUCUCGUUUGUCUGGGGUGAAAGCCUUGAGCUUAACUCAAGAAGUGCCCCAGAAACGGCGAGACUAGAGUCUUGGAGAGGGUCGUGGAAUUCCCGGUGUAGCGGUGAAAUGCGUAGAGAUCGGGAGGAACACCAGCGGCGAAAGCACUCUGCUGGGCCGACACUGACACUGAGAGACGAAAGCUAGGGGAGCGAAUGGG